CAAUAGCGUAUAUUAAAGUUGUUGCAGUUAAAAAGCUCGUAGUUGGACUUCUGCGGGUGGCGGCCGGUCGUGCUCGAAACGGGCGUGAACUUGGCGUGCUGCCCGCAUCUUUGGGGAGAUUGUGCGUGGCAUUAAGUUGUCGUGCAUGGGAUUCUCAUCAUUUACUGUGAAAAAAUUAGAGUGUUUAAAGCAGGCCUUUGCCUUGAAUACAUUAGCAUGGAAUAAUAAGAUAGGACCGUUGUCUAUUUUGUUGGUUUACAGAUGUCGGUAAUGAUUAAUAGGGAUAGUUGGGGGUAUUCGUAUUCAGUUGUCAGAGGUGAAAUUCUUGGAUUUUCGGAAGACGCACGACUGCGAAAGCAUUUGCCAAGGAUGUUUUCAUUAA
rnacentral:rRNA from 1 species